rnacentral:ncRNA from 1 species
AUUUUAACAAAAAAAAAAGGCUAGUAUUUUUGAAUAAGACUUCAGUACUUUACUAUUAUUUCAUUAGAACGACUCUGGUUUGAUGAAAAUAAAAUAUACAACUUUGAACGGAAACCACACGUCGAGCAAAAGGACAAAAGCCCGCUCGAUCUCGAUUUUCAGUACGAAUACGGACAGCGAAAGCAUGGCCCAUCGAGCCUUUCCGAACAGCGGCGUGCUAUGUGUUCGCCGAGAAGUGUCAGAAAAUUACCACAGGGACAACGGGCCUGUGGCAGCCAAGCGUUCGCAGUGACAUCGCUUUGAGAUCCUUCGAUAUCGGCCCUACCUAUCAUGGCGAAGCUUUGGAUUGUUUAGCCACUGACAGGGAACGUGAUCGGGGUUCUACCUGUCAAUCCAUGCAGCAUCAAGCAAACGUGAAACCUAAUACUGACCUCUUUAGGCUUGAAGAUGAUGCUUGAAUGGAAACGAAGUGUUUAGUCUCUUUUUGUUGUAUAUCGCAAAGUACGUUAAACCCCUUGGCUGAAUAGUAUUAGUAAUUUCUGUUGCCAUAGCAAUCGAUAAAAGAUUUUUCUGUGCGAGGGGAAUUUAGAUACAGAUAUGAGAAAAACAGUAUAAGAUAUAAUGCUAAGAAUUUGCUGUUGGCACAAUAUAC